UACGAAGGGGGGCUAGCGUUGUUCGGAAUUACUGGGCGUAAAGCGUGCGCAGGCGGCUGCUCAAGUCAGGGGUGAAAGCCCAGAGCUCAACUCUGGAAUUGCCUUUGAGACUGAGUGGCUUGAGUACGGGAGAGGUGAGUGGAAUUCCCAGUGUAGAGGUGAAAUUCGUAGAUAUUGGGAAGAACACCGGUGGCGAAGGCGGCGUCACUG
rnacentral:rRNA from 1 species